AUGUCACGACCUCUGCAGUGCAUAAGACUGCAUCAGAACAAUGGUACAAAAAAAUAUAUAACCAAGCCGUCUCACAAUAGACGAGUGCUAGAAGCAAGAUUCAUCCACCCACUUGGAUUAUGUCGUGUUGAAACAGAAGGCUGGAGAGGGAAGCUUUGUUCCUCCGUAGGGGCUUUCCUGACUCAGGUAUUAAUGGAUCUCAAACCAUGGAUCCCAGAGAGAGCGGGAUUAUUUCUCUUCGUGGUGAUAGUGGAAAGAGUAGAAAAUACAAAAAGAGAAUCUGCUACAUUUAACAAAUCUAAGCUAAAAAUCUAGGAGUUCAUCCUUGCUUCUCACUUGAAUAGCUUUGUGAUUAAUGAGUAGCAUCUGAAACACAGUGUAAUGAGAUAUAAAUUAUGUUUUUUCCAAUCUGCGUAGUGAUUACGACUGCCAGAACUGGGAAAAAUCCAUUAGUUAGGUAAGAACACUUCAGCAGACAUUCAGUUGAAAAUCUAGAGGAGGCAUUUCUGAGGAGAGUAUUGAUUGAGAUGCUUUUUGUGCUCAGCAGGUUUGUGCCUUCAGCGCUGACGGUCCAGAGGUCUCUUAAUAUACGAGCGUGUGCCGUUUAAUGAAAGCCGUGUGCGAGGCCUCCCAUGCUGUGAUUGCUCAGCAGGUUUGCUCCUUUCAUGACUCAAAGCCCUCCUAAGAGAUAAUUUCCCUGGAUUGUGUUCUUUGGUCCACCUAAGCUUUUACUUCUAUUAUGAGAUACAGAUAAUUACUAGAUUGUUUUCCUACUGUAUUUAGAAAAAUAGCAAAUGCAUUUCAAGUGUAGCAAUUUAAAGACACUAUGAAAUCAAAAUGGUGUUUUGGUUCAACUUGUGUAACUUCUUAAAAUAUGCUUUUAAAAAUAAAUGCUUU
rnacentral:lncRNA from 12 species